UAUCAUUGUACUUGCGUGUUAUAAUAUUAUUUUUCCAUAGUUUUGUUAUGGCCGUUAUGGGCUUGUUUUUAUUGUUUAUCGUGUUAAGGGGCCUUAAAUCACUACAAGAUAAUUUUGUGUAUCUACUACCUAAAAACAGAAAGAAAAUCAAAUUGCCAAACAUAUUUGUAUAAAAAAAAACUGAAAAUUUUUCCGAAUUGUAAGUACAUUGCCUACAUGCCUAAAUCGACUAAAUCUACAUUGUACACACGUCUUAAAAAUAUAUCACCUCUAAAUUUGAAAGUAGACCCUGCAGGUAGAUAAUAUGUAUUCUGUAUUUACUCAAAGUA